ACCACCCCGUGCGUCGAUGCCUGCCCCUGCCCCUGCCCCCGCCCCCAUCCCUGCGAUGCCCGCGGCCACAGCGCCCCCUCCCCUCGACGCGCUCUGCACGCCAUGCCUGCUAACCAAGACCACAGCGCCUGGAGCAAUGGGGAGGAUGUCGGCCUUGCAUGGCACCAGAGAGGGCGGCCCCUGCGCGAACGCGGCCCCCGGCCUCAGCCCCGAUGGCGGCGCGCUGCCCCACCGGCCCCCUGACGCGAGCGGGCGCGCCGCGGCCCCCACCCGACGGCGCGAGCGAGGCACGCGGCCCUCCCGGCGGGGUGGACGCGGCCCCUGGCUGUGAGGCGACGAUGGGGCUGGGGGCUGCGAUGGCACUGGGCGACCCACCGGCGGACUACGCAUCCAUCGCGACGGCGGGGCUGUUUGUGGCACUCAUGUGUGUAUGCAUCAUCGUCGGGCACCUCCUCGAGGAGAACCGCUGGAUGAACGAGUCCAUCACCACGCUCUUCAUCGGGCUGGGAACUAGAGCAGUCAUCCUGUUCGCAUCGAGCGAGAAGCAUUCGCGUGUGCUGGUGUUCAGUUCCAAGUGAAGAAGAAACAGUUCUUUCGAAACUUCAUUACUAUUACACUGUUUGGUGCAGUUGGCACCUUGAUCUCUUUUACUGUAAUAUCCCUUGGCGCUCUAGGACUAAUAUCAAGGCUUAAUAUCGGCGCACUUGAACUGGGAGACUAUCUUGCACUUGGGGCAACAUUCUCGGCCAUAGACUCGGUUUGCACCUUGUAGGUGUUAAGCCAAGAUGAGACACCAUUCUUGUACAGCCUCGUGUUUGGUGAAGGUGUUGUCAAUGACACAACUUCUGUUGUGUUGUUCAAUGCAAUCCAGAACUUUGAUCCUGGAAAUAUCAGCGGUGCCAAAUUACUGAACUUCAUUAGCAGUUUCCUUUAUUUGUUUGGCUCCAGCACCAUUCUUGGAGUAGCUUCUGGACUUCUUAGUGCUUAUACCAUUAAGAAGUUGUACUUUGGCAGGCAUUCAACCUAUCGUGAAGUUUCCAUUAUGAUGCUAAUGGCUUAUUUAUCUUACAUGCUAGCUGAAUUGCUCGAUUUGAGUGGAAUUCUCACUGUGUUUUUCUGCGGUGUCGUAAUGUCACACUAUACUUGGCACAAUGUAACAGAAAGUUCAAGGGUCACAACCAACCCGGUAAAGUCUAUCGCUUUGAGCAGCACCAUUUUAGCCUUGGUGCUGGUUUCAAGAGCUGCUUUUGUUUUCCCACUAUCCUUUCUAUCAAAUUUGACCAAAAAAACUCCAAAUGGAAAGAUAUCUUUUAGGCAGCAGGUUAUUGUUUGGUGGGCGGGUCUCAUGAGAGGUGUUGUGUCUAUUGCGUUGGCUUACAAUAAGGUUAAUCUUGUGUUUGGUCUAUAUG